rnacentral:rRNA from 1 species
CACGUAGGGUGCGAGCGUUGUCCGGAUUCAUUGGGCGUAAAGGGCUAGUAGGCGGCUUAGCAAGUCGGGUGUGAAAUUUCCAGGCUUAACCUGGAACCGCCAUCCGAUACUGCUAUGGCUGGAGUCCGGUAGGGGACCACGGAAUACCUGGUGUAGCGGUGAAAUGCGCAGAUAUCAGGAAGAACACCGAUGGCGAAGGCAGAUCUCUGGGCCGUAACUGACGCUGAGGAGCGAAAGCAUGGGGAGCGAACAGG